GACGAACGCUGGCGGCGUGCCUAAUACAUGCAAGUUGAACGCUGAAGUGAGGAGCUUGCUCUUCUUGGAUGAGUUGCGUACGGGUGAGUAACGCGUAGGUAACCUGCCUUGUAGCGGGGGAUAACUAUUGGAAACGAUAGCUAAUACCGCAUAACAAUGGAUGACACAUGUCAUUUAUUUGAAAGGGGCAAUUGCUCCACUACAAGAUGGACCUGCGUUGUAUUAGCUAGUAGGUGAGGUAAUGGCUCACCUAGGCGACGAUACAUAGCCGACCUGAGAGGAUGAUCGGCCAAAAUGGGACUGAGACACAGCCCAGAAACCUACGAGAGGAAGCAGAAGGAAUUCUUCGGCAAUAGGGGCAACCCUGACCGAGAAACGCCGAGUGAGUGAAGAAGGAUUUCGGAUAGUAAAGCUCUGUUGUAAGUCAAGAACGGGUGUGAGAGUGGAAAGUUCACACUGUGAAGGUAGCUUACCAGAAAGAGACAGAUAAAUACGUG
rnacentral:rRNA from 1 species